rnacentral:rRNA from 1 species
AACGAACGCUGGCGGCAUGCCUAACACAUGCAAGUCGAACGAGACCUUCGGGUCUAGUGGCGCACGGGUGCGUAACGCGUGGGAACCUGCCCUUAGGUUCGGAAUAACUCCCCGAAAGGGGUGCUAAUACCGGAUAAUGUCUUCGGACCAAAGAUUUAUCGCCUUUGGACGGGCCCGCGUUGGAUUAGCUAGUUGGUAGGGUAAAAGCCUACCAAGGCGACGAUCCAUAGCUGGUCUGAGAGGAUGAUCAGCCACACUGGGACUGAGACACGGCCCAGACUCCUACGGGAGGCAGCAGUGGGGAAUAUUGGACAAUGGGCGAAAGCCUGAUCCAGCAAUGCCGCGUGAGUGAUGAAGGCCUUAGGGUUGUAAAGCUCUUUUACCCGGGAUGAUAAUGACAGUACCGGGAGAAUAAGCGCCGGCUAACUCCGUG